rnacentral:rRNA from 1 species
UACCAGCACCCCGAGUGGUCGGGACGUUUUAUUGGGCCUAAAGCAUCCGUAGCCGGUUCUACAAGUCUUCCGUUAAAUCCAACUGCUUAACAGGUGGGCUGCGGAAGAUACUAUAGAGCUAGGAGGCGGGAGAGGCAAGCGGUACUCGAUGGGUAGGGUAAAUCCGUUGAUCCAUUGAAGACCACCAGUGGCGAAGGCGGCUUGCCAGAACGCGCUCGACGGUGAGGGAUGAAAGCUGGGGGAGCAAACCGG